AUUGAACGCUGGCGGCAGGCCUAACACAUGCAAGUCGAACGAGUGGCGGACGGGUGAGUAAGGUCUGGGAAACGGCCUGAUGGAGGGGGAUAACUACUGGAAACGGUAGCUAAUACCGCAUACCAUCAGAUGUGCCCAGAUGGGAUUAGCUUGUUGGUGGGGUAACGGCUAACCAAGGCGACUAUCCCUAGCUGGUCUGAGAGGAUGACCAGCCACCCUGGAACUGAGUCACGUUCCAGACUCCUACGGGAGGCAGCAGUGGGGAAUAUUGCACAAUGGGCGCAAGCCUGAUUCAGCCAUGCCGCGUGUAUGAAGAAGGCCUUCGGGUUGUAAAGUACUUUCAGCGGGGAGGCGUUACCCGCAGAAGAAGCACCGGCUAACUCCGUGCCAGCAGCCGCGGUAAUUC
rnacentral:rRNA from 1 species